AAUGAACGUUGGCGGCGUGGAUUAGGCAUGCAAGUCGAGCGGCAGCAGGCCCCGCAAGGGGCGCUGGCGAGCGGCGAAAGGGAGAGUAACGCGUGGGUACGUACCCCUGGGAUCAGGAUAGCGGCGGGAAACUGCCGGUAAUACUGAAUAACAUCUCGCGAGCAAAGGUGUGAUUCCGCCUGGGGAUCGGCCCGCGUCCUAUCAGCUAGUUGGCGAGGUAAUGGCUCACCAAGGCGAUGACGGGUACUGGGUGUGAGAGCACGACCCAGCCCACUGGGAAUGAGAUACUGCCCAGACACCUACGGGUGGCUGCAGUCGAGAAUCUUCGGCAAUGGGCGAAAGCCUGACCGAGCGACGCCGCGUGCGGGAUGAAGGCCUUCGGGUUGUAAACCGCUGUCGUAGUGGAGGAAAUAUCAGGGGGUCCUCCCCUUGGUUUGACUGAUACUAGGAGGAAGGGUGGGCUAAGCUCGUGCCAGCCGCCGCGGUAACAC
rnacentral:rRNA from 1 species